rnacentral:rRNA from 1 species
GACGAACGCUGGCGGCGUGCUUAACACAUGCAAGUCGAACGCAGUGGCGAACGGGUGCGUACUACGUGGGUAACCUGCCCUCCUUUUUGGGAUAAGCCUUGGAAACGGUUUCUAAUACCUACUAAGGUGUGAUGGGCUAGCGGCCUAUCAGCUUGUUGGUGGGGUGCUGGCCUACCAAGGCGCUGACGGGUAGCCGGCCUGAGAGGGUGACCGGGCACAUUGGGACGGAGCUACGGCCCAGACGCGUACGGGAGGCAGAAGUGGGGGAGAUUGCAGAAUGGGCGAAAGACUGAUGCAGCGACGCCGAGUGGGGGAUGAAGGCUUUCGGGUUGUAAACCUCUUUCGCUAUCGAAAGGGUAGGUGGAGAAGAAGCGCCGGCUAACUACGUGCCAGCCGCCGCGGUAAUAC